rnacentral:ncRNA from 2 species
UUCUUAUCAAGAGAGGGGGAGGGACUGGCCCAGUGAACCCUCAGCAACCUGGCGGAAGCCAAGGUGCUAAAUCCAGACAGGCGAAAGCGCCUGGAAGAUAAGAA